UACGGAGGGUGCAAGCGUUGCUCGGAAUCACUGGGCGUAAAGAGCGUGUAGGCGGUUUCGUAUGUCUGACGUGAAAGCCCCGGGCUCACCCCGGGAAGUGCGUUGGAAACUGCGAGGCUAGAGUCCCGGAGAGGAAGGUGGAAUUCCAGGUGUAGCGGUGAAAUGCGUAGAUAUCUGGAAGAACACCGGUGGCGAAGGCGGCCUUCUGGACGGUGACUGACGCUGAGACGCGAAAGCGUGGGGAGCAAACAGG
rnacentral:rRNA from 1 species